AUACAGAUAUACUACUAGUGACAUCUUCAUUCGAAAAUGAGUAUCAAAAUUGUGUUUGAAACUUUAAGAUUAUCUGUCAUUUGUGAAAAAAAAAUUGUGCAGUUACCUAUUUGUUUUUGUCUUGCGGUGAAGAUAAAUUCAACAUUCAAUUGUCCAAGUGUCUACAUUCAUUUCCAUUGUUAGCUACCUCAUCGCCGCCGCUGGGAAAGAAAACAACAAACAAACCAGAGUCCUCGUUUUUCCGAGAAGCAUCAUGACAUGGUGCUUUCCAACUUUAAUUGGAUUGUGUUAUUGCGCUAUUCCAAGCAUAAAUUUUGGAAUAAAUACCAUUUGCUGGGUGAUGGUGGUACAUAUGUUCCAGUCUGAUAAGCUAUAAGGAUAUUAUUAUCAUUGGUGAAGAAGAUUUGCGAUUGGUGGAUGUGGUGCGGUGCCUGAGAGAAUUUUCUUUUUUGAGGUUGCGUCGAGCUAAUAAAUCUUUUCAUGUAGACCGUCUCCUCAGUCGAUGAAAAGUAAAGAAAAAAAAAACUAAAGUGAAAUAAGCAAUUAUGUAUCCUUUUUUGGCUAAAGAAAAAUUUUAAAUAAAAACAAGUGAUUCGGGUUUUUAUUUUGAAAACUUUCAAAA